GAUCAAGGCACGAAUAAUUAUGCCCUAAACAACCCCAUUUGAUAGAUGCUGGAUGGGGAUUGUAGUUAGGCUUCAGAGGGUCAUGACCAAAACUCCCUGACCACCCAAUGUGUUUAGACGCUAAACUAUUUCAAAUAUGAUUUUUCUGCCGCAAAAAGGCACCAUGAUUGUGGUGAGGGUUUCCAUUCAAUUAGAGAUUGGGGAGAAGGGAUGACAUUUUGUUGGAGUUUCUCAGUUCCAACAGAACAAGACCUUCUCACGAGCAUUACAAAGCGAAUGUUGAGAGCAAAUUUGUUACCAUAACUCAGUGGACCAUUUUCAUGCAAUCACCACCAAAAACGAACGUGCAU
rnacentral:sRNA from 2 species